UCCUUAGGCUACAAUUACAGUUACUAUAACAAGAUGGAAAAUUAAGAGGAAACUCUUUUCAAAAUGUGAAUGAUGUGGUGACGAAUUCAUCUCUAACGGAAAGAGAAGAAGAACUAGCGUUAGGAUUCAAAAAGUAUCAAAAGGAUAGGUUUAAACCAAAAAAAAUCCGACUGAAUGUUGUGUGAUUACUGUGUGUUUGUAUUUUGGUGGAAAAUAGGGUUCCAAUUCAACGGGAACAAAGAGGAAUAUAGAAACUAACCAAGUCUAGCGAGCAACUCUUCUAUUGCAUGAUGAAGAAAUGUCAAGAAUGUCUAUAGGAAUUCGUUCCAUAAGCUAUUACAGAGACUGCUCAAGUAAAGAAAUGUCAGAUGAAUUAGAGAAGUUUUUAAAGGACUGGAUACCUGUGGAGGUUAUUGCCUUCAUAUAAAAAUUGAAAAGUUCCUGAAAGUUGUUCAAAGAAAUGUCCGUGAUGGGAAAUCUCUCAAGGGUCUGUUCCCCAAGAUGGUGUUUGUUGUCCCCAUGCAAACCAACAUCAUGGUUGAUUCAAAUUACAGUGUUGACAUGAUAAAAUGCAAUGAUUUAGUUAGUUAAGAGACCAGUCUACAUUUUUGUGCAAAAGUUUUUCCAAGGUGAUUUUAAAGUGUAAUAUAUUUGCUUUUUCGAUGGACACAUGAAUAUUUUUAUUUAGUACAGUAACUAAAUUAUAAAGGCUGCAAAUUACUACACAGACCCUCUAAUUUUAAAUUGUCACCGUACAGUGCAAAUUGACAUG